UACGGAAGGCAGCAGUGGGGAAUAUUGCACAAUGGGCGAAAGCCUGAUGCAGCUAUGCCGCGUGUAUGAAGAAGGCCUUAGGGUUGUAAAGUACUUUCAUCGGGGAGGAAAAAACAAAACUAAUAAUUUUAUUUCUUGACGUUACCCGAAAAAGAAGCACCGGCUAACUCCGUGCCAGCAGCCGCGGUAAUACGGAGGGUGCUAGCGUUAAUCAGAAUUACUGGGCGUAAAGAGCACGUAGGUGGUUUUUUUAAGUCAGAUGUGAAAUCCCUGGGCUUAACCUGGAACUGCAUUUUGAAACUGAAAUACUAGAGUAUCGUAGAGGGAGGUAGAAUUCUAGGUGUAGCGGUGAAAUGCGUAGAUAUCUGGAGGAAUACCUGUGGCGAAAGCGGCCUCCUAAACGAAUACUGACACUGAGUGCGAAAGCGUGGGGAGCAAACAGGGAUUAGAUACC
rnacentral:rRNA from 1 species